GAUGAACGCUGGCGGCGUGCCUAAUACAUGCAAGUCGAGCGAACAGACGAGGAGCUUACUCCUCUGACGUUAGCGGCGGACGGGUGAGUAACACGUGGAUAACCUACCUAUAAGACUGGGAUAACUUCGGGAAACCGGAGCUAAUACCGGAUAACAUGUUGAACCGCAUGGUUCAACAGUGAAAGACGGUCUUGCUGUCACUUAUAGAUGGAUCCGCGUCGCAUUAGCUAGUUGGUAAGGUAACGGCUUACCAAGGCAACGAUGCAUAGCCGACCUGAGAGGGUGAUCGGCCACACUGGAACUGAGACACGGUCCAGACUCCUACGGGAGGCAGCAGUAGGGAAUCUUCCGCAAUGGGCGAAAGCCUGACGGAGCAACGCCGCGUGAGUGAAGAAGGUCUUCGGAUCGUAAAACUCUGUUAUUAGGGAAGAACAUAUGUGUAAGUAACUGUGCACGUCUUGACGGUACCUAAUCAGAAAGCCACGGCUAACUACGUG
rnacentral:rRNA from 1 species